CCUUUCCCAAACAUCGAAUUUAUCCAAAGAAUAUCUCCUUGGUCAGUAUUACAAACUAUUUUUUAUUAUUUUCUUACACUUGUCUGUUAAUCAUUUUCCAUGCCGUGUCUAUCAUCAAGAAAGGAAAAUCACAUUCAACAUGUCUUUCCCUCUGGCUUAUACACUAUUAUAAAACUGAAAACUUUGCUAAAUGAGGAGUGGGUUCAAAUCUAACUUGAAUUAUAGACAUAUUAUUCUCAACAAGAUAAAUUUUGAAUUUCAAUUUCAUUAUCUUGUGUAAGAAUUAUUUACAUUAAAUCUUGGAAAAAGACACAUGUUUUAUAAAUAUGACCUAAAUUUUUUUUCCUUGACUAUUGAGAUUGGCAGGAGUUCGCUUAUUUGCUAACAAUUUUAAAAGAUCUGCUUUAAUCUAAUAACUACAAUUUGGUAAUUUGCUGGAGUAGCAUCUCACAGUGCAAUUUUUAUGAUUUGAUUGGUUAACUAGUAUUCUAUUGUCUUGUCUUCACAUUCACACUCUCACCUUUGGACUCCCAAGACAUAUAAGUUUUAAUAUUCUGCCACAAUCUAUUAUUCUCAAAACAUCACUGGUGACAAAAUGAUAAUAACCUUUGGAAACAUUUCCCUUCAAGUUUCUAAGUGUUCAGUCACUAACAAUACAGAAAGAAACAAAAUAUUUUAAAGGUACUGAGAAAAGUCCAGUGCUUACAGAUGGUUUCAGCAACUUUAACUUGCGCAAGACCCCAUGUUUGUGAAAGUAACCCAAGAAUCUUUGAACAGGAUGUAAUCAACCUCCAAUCUGCUGAGAAACACUGCAAAAAUGACUUCAGCUGCCAAAAAUAAUAAUGUCGUUUACAAGCAGCUCUUCCUAUGUCUAAGGAAGAACGAGUCACACAUGCGAGUUUUUGCUGGCUUCGGGAGAACAAGCAAGGAAAAAGACAAAUCCCACCUACCCUAGCCUAAAAUACACAAGGAGUAGCAGAACCCCGCGGAAGCUGUGGCUCAUUCCAAAAGGUACUGGCAAUAUUGAAGAAGACUCGUAUCCGCAAAAAUCUGCAUGGUGAAUCUACUUCAGGGUCAGUGAUAAUGUGCCUUCUUCUCCUUUUCACUGUGGCGAUAUUCACAAUCCUUCAGCCUUCUGAAGAGGAUCCAAAGUGGACACCCCAGCCUGCAGUGUCCCUGCCAUGAUAAUAGACCUGUGAAGCUAAAUGAAGCUGGAGGCUAUCACUGUUGUCUUGAACUAGAGACACUGGACUCCUCCCCAGGGAACUAGCCACAUCUAUUUAAAAACACUUUUAGGUGAGUAUUUGGAAACAUUUAGUAACAGAAGGGUUCUUGGUAGAAUACAGUAGUCUCUUAAAGAUAGAACAUUGUGGCUUUGAAUGUACAAGACAACACUGAGGUUUAUGCAGCAUUGUAAAUGAGGGUCCUUAUGGUCUAAUAUGGAAAUAGAGUAAAUUUUCUUCUCCAGCCUCUGAACAGUGGCUAAACUAAUAAUAGGUGGGAAGAAUGACAACAGCUAAAGAUGGUUCUAUUUUUCUUCAUUGCUAACGGCUGCAUGUGAACCUGAGUGUUUGUAGAUGGCCACAGAGCUAGGAAAUAGUAGUGCAAAAUAAAUUUUAUUUGCUGUUUGUUUGUGAACUAUAAAUAUAA